CUCCCUUUUUCCUCAAAGCUUCUGGAAAGACUCGUCUUUACCCGUGUGUCUCAUUUCCUCAAUUACAACUCUCUCCUUGACCCCCUUCAAUCUGGCUUCCGCCCUCUCCACUCUACAGAGACUGCCCUUAUCAAAGUUACUAACGACCUAAUCGCAGCUAAAUCCAAAGGCCACUACUCCAUACUAAUUCUUCUUGACCUCUCGGCGGCCUUUGACACCG